rnacentral:rRNA from 1 species
GAUGAACGCUGGCGGCGUGCCUAAUACAUGCAAGUCGAGCGAAGGGACGAGAUGCUUGCUCUUGUUAUGUUAGCGGCGGACGGGUGAGUAAUACGUGGAUAACCUACCUAUAAGACUGGGAUAACUUCGGGAAACCGGAGCUAAUACUGGAUAAUAUUUUGAACCGCAUGGUUCAAAAGUGAAAGGCGGUCUUUCUGUCACUUAUAGAUGGAGCCGCGCGGCAUUAGCUAGUUGGUAAGGUAACGGCUUACCAAGGCAACGAUGCGUAGCCGACCUGAUGGGGUGAUAGGCCACCCUGGAACUGGGCCGCCGUCAAGACUACUAAGGGAGGCAGCAGAAGGGAACCUUACGCAAUGGGGGAAAGCCUGACAGAGCAACGCAGAGUGAGUGAUGACGGUGUUCGGUUCGUAAAACUCUGUUAUUAGGGAAGAACAUAUGUGUGAGCAACUGUGCACAAAUUGACGGUACCUGCUCAGAAAGCCACGGCUAACUACGUG